CUUAUUUGCUGAGGUAUAAUCCGUAGUUUAUGCCUUAAAACGUCGUUUAAAGUGCAUUUCAGACUUAAAUAACAUGUUCAUUGAAGAACGGGUGACCCCGGGGGUUGGUAUCUAACCAGCUGAACAACAUGCCCUUCAAAUAGGGCUGCAUCUUUCCAUCCAUCCCUCUCAAUAACGCAGUCGGUGAUCCUGGGCUCUGCCUCCAGGAACUACUAACUCAGUAUAUUCCGAUCCGUUCCUGGAGAUCACGAAAUACUGAACUUUUACUUAUUCGGAAAAAUCUUCUUAAAUCAAGAUCUUGCUGCUGUCGUGCUCCUGGUUCGUGGGACUUUCGACAUCAGGAGCUUGAAACAUUGGAUUCUUUUCAGUCUAAAUUGAAAUGUUAUUAUUUCUCAUGUGCUUGUGUAUUAUUGUGUAUCAACUAUUUUGUUUUAUACAUUGUACAGCGCUGUGGGGUGCCAUGCAGUGAGGGGCACUGUGUAAAAUACAUUGUUAUUAUUGUGUUGUAUUGUAUAAAGGGAAAGCUUAACAAUGAUACAAUAAUAAGAACAUAUUCAAGGACCUCUUAGUAUAUUCGCCUCGCUAGACUCUCGUAUGACUGUUCAUGUGCUUACAGUAUAAUCAUAUAAUAAUGGUAUCAAGAAAUCCCUGUGUAUGCUUUAGCUAUAGGUUACAUUGAUUUUAGCUCUGACUCUACUCAUUCCUGGUGUGUGCAAUUAAACAAGUCUGAGCGUGUCUCAGAGAGUGCAUGUUGAGGAUUUUCUGACUAGGAAAGAUUCAGUCACGUCAGCCGUACUAGAUAAACUGUGAUUUUAGAUGAUAGGGCAUGGAAUUGUUUUGUCUUACAACUGAAGAUGUUUGUGUAAGAAGUACCAGUAUAUUCAGGGAACAGGAGGGGGAGGGCACCUCAACAUCAGAUCUUAACAUUGAGAAAUAACUCUUUAUGCCUACUAAUUACUUUUACACUUUAACACCCUAAAUAGUGUUCCUAGGGAAAUAUUUAACUCUUUGAUGACAGAAUGUGCUAUGCUAAAAUUUUUAUAACAACAAGACAUUGGUAUUAGUUGUAACUGACCUUUCUUUCUCCCAGAAAGAAAAAAAAAACCCUUUUGUUGAAAUAUC